rnacentral:rRNA from 1 species
UACAGAGACCUCAAGCGUUAUCCGGAUUUAUUGGGCGUAAAGCGUCCGCAGGUGGUUUAUUAAGUCAUAGGUCAAAUCCCGGGGCUCAACCCCGUAACUGCCCAUGAUACUGAUGAACUCGAGGCCAGUAGAGGCAAGCGGAAUUACAGGUGUAGCGGUAAAAUGCGCAGAUAUCAGGAGGAACACCGGUGGCGAAGGCGGAUCUCUGGGCCAUUACUGACGCUGAGGAGCGAAAGCGUGGGGAGCGAACAGG